rnacentral:lncRNA from 1 species
GCCCACCAGAGUUAAGACAGUGGGCUUUUGCAAAUAGCCAGAUGUUCCCAGGCACUGUGAUCACAGUACUUUUCAAGUCACUUUACUUUUCAAGUGAGGAUCAGUAUGGUAUAGUACAAUGUGAGUGUGGUGCUACCUUGGGACAGGCGUCCCUGUGACCUAGGAACUGAGGUCAGUGCUGGGGUGAUCAGCAUGGGCACAGUGUGAGCAGCAGAACAGAACCAACAAAAGCUCCCCACAGCUUGACCCAAGCAAGGCAAUACCUACUGGCAGCACAGGUGACAGGCAGCUGGGGACCUGAACAAGUUGUCUAUGCUGUUUUAGGUGCUCUGUGGUACCUGAGACAUAGCACAGAUCAUACAUGUGAGAGAACAAACCAUGCUACUCUGAAAGAGCUGGAUACCAGGUUUGAAAAGUUUAAAAGGAAGAAGUACUAUCAGCAUUUGAUUUUGUGAAAAGCAAAGCAGCACUGUCUUGCAUCAUGCCUAUACUUUCCAUUUCAGAACGAAGAGAGAACGUAAGGUAAGUCAGAUCAAGGUUCCAUAUAGCCAGUGUCCUCCUCUAGUAGUGGUCAAUGUAGAUAAAUAGGGAAAAAUCUAAGAAUAGAGGAAGAAAGUAGAGGUAUUUUCUGCCUCUAUUUAACAGUUUGCAUUUGGGUACCUUUUGAACCAAAAGUACUAUCCUUCUAUAUAUCCUCCCAUCAGCAGUAUUCCCAGACCGUGCAGAAAACAUCUGAGCUGGAAAGGGAGAGGUUUUGUUGAAUGUAGUUUCCUACUUCUCUCGAAAAUAUUUAUUGAAAUAAAGACCUUGGUACUAUUACUUAUAGUAGCA